GGCAACCAAGAACAAGAAGCCUGGCAUAAUGGUGGGCGCGGCUCUGGCCUCUCCAGUGGGGUUGAUCCUCGUGGCUGGAAGAGAUGUAAAUAAUGGAGCUUAGAAUGCAACAGCUGGUGAUAAAAGGCAGCAUGGAAAAGAUUAAGUGGCAUGAUAAAGAAAAGGAAUGAGAAACCUCUUGAAGAAAUCAUUGCCCCCGUUUUUAGCUCUAAGAAAUUGCCUCCUGAGGAUCCACACAUCCUGCAUAUCGAAUCACAUUAGAAGUACCAGGAGGACUUCCAUUAAUCUAUUUCACAGGGGUUAGUCCUAAAUGUCAUUUCUCAGUAAAUCGUCUGGAAAUGUUUAUGGGAACACUUUACCUCAGAAAUAUUUGAGGAAUGCCUUCGAGCAAACCAGACAAAAAGAAGCAUGCAACGUAAAGAUCUCUGGCCCGUUAUGAAGACUUAUGAAGACUCGCUGUUUCCAAGUCAGUGUGUGUGCACGCGCGCGUUUGGGUGACUGAAGAUGUAAGCACACAGGUCUCACACACAUGGAAGCAUUCUCCUGUGAAAUUGGGCUACAAAAUAUUCUGCCGAUCUAAAGACUUAAAAAGUCUAAAAAAUGCUGAACUCACUGGCACAGUUUCUGGAAACCGAGUCUCACACGCGGUUUCAGCGGCACUGGGGAGCCGACGUCGAGCACCCGUGCGCGUGGGCUCCUCGGUCGCCUGCAGCCCGUCAGGGCGCUUUUGGGGCAGAGCGCCGCGGCCGCAGAGCCUCCUUGGAAUGCGGCGCCUAGCGCUGCGCAGAGGCUAUGAUCUGGGCUCGGAAGGAUCCGGAGGCCUAGCGUUUCUCUCUCUCCGCCUAAGAUUCAAGCAGAGCCCAUCUGCGCCCGCCACCUCGAGCCUCGGGUACAGCUUCCAGCGCCGGCCCUGGCUGCGGUGGGCCGGGCAGCGCGAGCGGCAGCUGCGCACCCGCAAGCCC